UACGGGGGGGGCAAGCGUUGUUCGGAAUUACUGGGCGUAAAGGGCUCGUAGGCGGCCAACUAAGUCAGACGUGAAAUCCCUCGGCUUAACCGGGGAACUGCGUCUGAUACUGGAUGGCUUGAGUUUGGGAGAGGGAUGCGGAAUUCCAGGUGUAGCGGUGAAAUGCGUAGAUAUCUGGAGGAACACCGGUGGCGAAGGCAGCUCGCUGGGACGUUACUGACGCUGAGACGCGAAAGCGUGGGGAGCGAACGAGG
rnacentral:rRNA from 1 species